rnacentral:rRNA from 1 species
UCUAGAGAUUACUCCUACGGGAGGCAGCAGUGGGGAAUAUUGGACAAUGGGCGAAAGCCUGAUCCAGCCAUGCCGCGUGUGUGAAGAAGGUCUUCGGAUUGUAAAGCACUUUAAGUUGGGAGGAAGGGCAGUAAGCUAAUACCUUGCUGUUUUGACGUUACCGACAGAAUAAGCACCGGCUAACUCUGUGCCAGCAGCCGCGGUAAUAAUCGUCGAC